rnacentral:rRNA from 1 species
GACGAACGCUGGCGGCGUGCUUAACACAUGCAAGUCGAACGAAAAGCGAUGGAAGCUUGCUUCUAUCAAUCUUCGUGGCGAACGGGUGAGUAACGCGCAAUCGACCUGCCCUUCAGAGGGGGGCAACCGUUGGAAACGACUGCUUAUACCGCAUACGAUCUAAUCUCGGCAUCGAGGAUAGAUUAAAGGUGGCCUCUACAUGUAAGCUCUCAGUCAAGGAGGGGAUUGCGCUGGGUUAGCUAGCUGGAGGGGUAACGGCCCACCAAGGCGAUGAUCAGUAGCCGGUCUGGGAGGAUGAACGGCCACAUUGGGACCUGGACAAGGCCCAGACGCCUACGGGAGGCAGCAGGGGGGAAACUUCCGCAAUGGACGGAAGGCUGACGGAGCACCGCCGGGGGAGGGAUGACGGCCUUCGGGUUUUAAAGCUCUGUUUAUCGGGACGAAAGGCCUUCUUGCGAACAGUUAGAAGGAUUGACGGUACCGGAAGAGAAAGCCACGGCUAACUACGUG